rnacentral:lncRNA from 1 species
GCUUUUCAUUGUCUCAACCUGCCAUGUCAUCUGCAAGGUGCUGGGUUUGGAACUCACGGACUUGGUACCCUGAAAUCCCUUUCAAUAGAUUA